rnacentral:lncRNA from 1 species
UAAGAAGUUGGGUGCUUGUUUUGGGGUGUUUGGAAGGUUUGGGAGGCUUGUAUGCAUGAGAGGCUGAGUUCUGGACGAACUCAGGUUCGGCCGCCGAAGGUAGUUUCGGCCGCCGAACCUGCCUGUGGAUGCAUGGAUUGGCCGCCUAACCUUGCCCCCGAAAGUUGAGUUUUGACUUGAAAGCAGACUUUCGGCCGUCGAAGGACGGCUGCCGAAAGUGCCUGACUUUCGUCUCUGGAGAGGGACUUUCGGCCGCCGAAGGUGCCGCCGAAAGAGCCCGAGUUUCGUCUCUGGAGAGAGGGUUCGGCCGCCGAAGGUGCCGCCGAAAGUGCCCUGUCCAGCCUUUUCAUGGUUGUUUUCUAUGCAUGCUUUGGUGAUGUUUUAGGGGG